rnacentral:rRNA from 1 species
GACGUACCGAGCGAACGUUAUUCGGAAUCACUGGGCUUAAAGGGCGCGUAGGCGGGCGAUCAAGUCAGGGGUGAAAGCCCCCAGCUCAACUGGGGAAGUGCCUCUGAUACUGGUCGCCUCGAGGGAGGUAGGGGCGUGCGGAACUUCCGGUGGAGCGGUGAAAUGCGUAGAUAUCGGAAGGAACACCGGUGGCGAAGGCGGUUCUCUGGGCCUUACCUGACGCUGAGGAGCGAAAGCGUGGGGAGCGAACAGG